rnacentral:rRNA from 1 species
UACAGAGGUCUCAAGCGUUGUUCGGAUUCAUUGGGCGUAAAGGGUGCGUAGGCGGCGCGGUAAGUCGGGUGUGAAAUCUUGGAGCUUAACUCCGAAACUGCAUUCGAUACUGCCGUGCUUGAGGACUGGAGAGGAGACUGGAAUUUACGGUGUAGCGGUGAAAUGCGCAGAUAUCAGGAGGAACACCGGUGGCGAAGGCGGCUUGCUGGGCCAGUUCUGACGCUGGAGGAGCGAAAGCGUGGGGGAGCGAACAGG